rnacentral:rRNA from 1 species
CCUACGGGGGGCAGCAGUGGGGAAUAUUGCACAAUGGGGGAAACCCUGAUGCAGCGACGCCGCGUGAGUGAAGAAGUAUUUCGGUAUGUAAAGCUCUAUCAGCAGGGAAGAAAAUGACGGUACCUGACUAAGAAGCCCCGGCUAACUACGUGCCAGCAGCCGCGGUAAUACGUAGGGGGCAAGCGUUAUCCGGAUUUACUGGGUGUAAAGGGAGCGUAGGCGGCAAGGUAAGCCAGAAGUGAAAGCCCGCGGCUCAACUGCGGGACUGCUUUUGGAACUAUCUAGCUAGAUUGCAGGAGAGGUAA